rnacentral:rRNA from 1 species
UACGUAGGGUGCGAGCGUUAAUCGGAAUUACUGGGCGUAAAGCGUGCGCAGGCGGUUCGUUGUGUCCGGUGUGAAAGCCCCGAGCUUAACUUGGGAAUGGCAUUGGAAACUGGCGGGCUGGAGUGUGGCAGAGGGGGGUGGAAUUCCACGUGUAGCAGUGAAAUGCGUAGAGAUGUGGAGGAACACCGAUGGCGAAGGCAGCCCCCUGGGCCAACACUGACGCUCAGGCACGAAAGCGUGGGGAGCAAACAGG